CAACAACCCGGAGAACCCUCACCCACCCGCGCAGAGGUGCUUAAAAUUUCAGAGACGAAUGUGAAUAUUACUUUCAAAUCUCCAACAGGAAACUAUGCCAAAGUCACAUCCAUCUUGAGAAGGCCUCAGAGGAGCUGUAAGGAAGCUGAGGGGACCUGCUCUCAAGAGGCAUCUCCAGGAGAGAGACAGAAACCCAAACAGAUGUGACUGUGAUGAGUAAAAAUGAGAGAACUCAGACAGCCUAAUCGGGAGCAGCCUCAGUCCAUUCUGAGCAGAAAGGAAUUGGCUGUCUUUCUGAAAUUCUGAAAAUGAGAAAUUUCAAACACCCUUCCUAUGUGAAGAUAAGCUCACUCAGAAUCACUUGCCAGUUUGUUCUCCUUCUACACUAACAGUUCACCAAAAUAUCUGAGUGGGAAGUUACCUGGUCAAGGACUGAUGAUGAGCUCAAAGAAAGGAAAUGUUGGCAGAUUCAAAUGCACCAACGUCGAGUAACACUGGGAUCUCCCCAUUCACUAAGUAAGGCAGCAGAGAGAGUAUUUACGAGAUGAGGUAGCCAAGUACCACCUUUUGUGGUCUAAUUAUGUACAAAGGCUCAGAGAAACAACUGGAUAGAAAUACAAAUGAGGAGUUUAGAGAAAAGCUAACAGAAUAGGCUCUUUUCAGCCAGCCAGGCACAGUGGCUCACACCUGUAAUCCCAGCAUUUUGGGAAGCUGAGGCAGAAGGAUCCCUUGAGCCCAGGAGUUCCAGGCUGCAGCAAGCUAUGAUCCUGCCACUGCAUUCCACCCUGGGUGACAGAGUAAGACCCUGCCUCUAAAAAAAAGAAAAAUAAGAAAAAAGAAAGAAAAGAA
rnacentral:lncRNA from 10 species